rnacentral:rRNA from 1 species
AGAGUUUGAUCCUGGCUCAGGAUAAACGCUGGCGGCGUGCCUAACACAUGCAGGUCGCACGUCCUCUUCUUUCUUCGGAGGGAAGAGGGAGUGGCGGACGGGUGAGUAACACGUGGGAACCUACCCACAGGUGAGGAAUACCACCGGGAAACCGGUGACAAAACCGCAUACGCUCUCUCGCAAGAGAGAGCAAAGCUCCGCAAGGGGCGCCUGAGGAUGGGCCUGCGGCCGAUUAGCUAGCUGGUGGGGUAAGGGCCUACCAGGGCGACGAUCGGUAGCUGGUCUGAGAGGACGAGCAGCCACACUGGGAUUGAGAACGGCCCAGACUCCUACGGGGGGCAGCAGUGAGGAAUUUUCGGCAAUGGGCGCAAGCCUGACCGAGCAACGCCGCGUGCAGGAAGACGGCCUUCGGGUUGUAAACUGCUUUUGUCGGGGACGAGCAAGGACGGUACCCGACCAACAAGCUCCGGCUAACUACGUGCCAGCAGCCGCGGUAAUACGUAGGGAGCAAGCGUUGUCCGGAGUAACUGGGCGUAAAGCGCACGCAGGCGGUCAUUCGCGUUGGCGCUGACAGCCGUGGGCCUAACUCACGGAGGGGUGUCAAAACGGGAUGACUUGAGACUUAGAGAGGCAGACGGAAUUCCGCGUGGAGCGGUGAAAUGCGUAGAGAUGCGGAAGAACACCAAAGGCGAAGGCAGUCUGCUGGCUAAGCUCUGACGCUCAGGUGCGAAAGCCAGGGGAGCGAACAGGAUUAGAUACCCUGGUAGUCCUGGCAGUAAACGAUGACCACUAGAUAUGCGGGGUAUCGACCCCCUGCGUGUCGCAGCCAACGCGAUAAGUGGUCCGCCUGGGGAGUACGGUCGCAAGAUUAAAACUCAAAGGAAUUGACGGGGACCCGCACAAGCAGCGGAGCGUGUGGUUUAAUUCGAUGUAACGCGAAGAACCUUACCAGGGCUUGACAUGCUCUCGCACCAUCUGGAGACAGGUGUACCCUUCGGGGACGGGAGCACAGGUGCUGCAUGGCUGUCGUCAGCUCGUGCCGUGAGGUGUUGGGUUAAGUCCCGCAACGAGCGCAACCCCUGUCCUCGGUUGGGAUAUCCGAGGAGACUGCCGCGAUCAACGUGGAGGAAGGUGGGGAUGAUGUCAAGUCAGCACGGCCCUUACGUCCUGGGCGACACACACGCUACAAUGGCGUCGACAACGAGUUGCCAACCCGCGAGGGGGAGCCAAUCUCAGCAAACGGCGUCUCAGUUCGGAUUGCAGGCUGCAACCCGCCUGCAUGAAGUGGGAGUUGCUAGUAACCGUGAGUCAGCACAUCACGGUGAAUACGUUCCCGGGUCUUGUACACACCGCCCAUCACACCACGAAAGUCGGUCACACCUGAAGCCCUCGGGCUAACCCAUCUGGGAGGCAGAGGUCGAGGGUGGGGCUGGUGAUUGGGGUGAAGUCGUAACAAGGUAACC